CGAAACAUAGAUAUUAGUGACUAUCAAUCCGUAGACUAGAUCGCCACCCAUGCUCCUGGGUAAAAACAUCCCGUGCCACCUGGUCCAAACGUCGAGAUACCACCGCAAUAGUAUCCCGCAAUCCCGGUUUGUGGAGGAUAGCCCAGGUACGCAGCCACUGGGUAACUAGAGUAAUAACCUGUAAAGGAGAAGACACUAACUUGUUAUCAAAAAUAACCCCGUUUCUGAAUGGACCAACAAAGAGCUGCUGCACCCAUCAAAAGCAGAUUUCUCAUUUCUUUAGGAACACAUAAAAGCCAACGCCCAAACAUAUGAGUAACAUUUCGAGGAGGUUGAAAGUUAGAGGCCAUAUGAAUAACGGACCAUACCAAACGAGAUAGAUGAAAUUGGAAGAACAAAUGUUGAAUGGUUUCAUCCUUAUGACAAAAGCAGCAUUUUUUACUACCUUUCCAAUUUCGCCUAGCUAGGUUAUCCUUUGUUAGAAUUACUCCCCGACGUAAGUACCAAAGGAAAACUUUUACUUUUAGCGGUACUUUAAUCUUUCAAAUACGUCUAUUAAUAUUCGGGACGCCCGUAUGAACAAGAGCUAUGUAAUGUGAAUUGACCGAGAAGACCCCAUUGGGGGUGAGAUUCCAGCGAAAUUCAUCUUGCUCUUGCGUCAACACCAAAUCAGCUAUGCAAGGCAAUAGAUUAUUCCAAGCAGCUAAUUUUGCUCCAAUUAAAUCUCGUCUCCAUGAAAAGCUUGGAGGGUUCGUUUGAAAGAUUUGUGAUAUUGUCGAUUGUUUAUGCCUAACUAUGUUAUAGAGACAAGGAUAUUGAUCUCUCAACGAGGCAUUACCCAACCACUUAUCUUCCCAAAACCUUAUUUGAGAGCCGUCCCUAAUACGAAAAGACCCAAACCGAAAAAAAUCUUGUUUGGCCUUCAUAAGACUAGCCCAAAAAUGUGAGUCUCCUGCUUUCCAAUAAGCCUGAGAUAAAGGUUGUGAUCCCAAAUAUUUAUUACGUAUCAACUGUUGCCACAUUCCGUCUGUGGUAAGCAACUUGCUAAGUAACGCUAUAUUCUUUACCUCGAGGUCAUGAAUUCCCAGCCCCCUUUGAUCUUUGGGACGACAGAUGAUGUCCCACUUAGCAAGCCGGUAUUUUUUCUUAUGGCCAUCCCCUUGCCAAUAGAACCUAGAUCGAAGGUAAUCAAGUUUUUUAAGUACCCCACUAGGUAUUGCAAGGAACGACAUCAUAUACAUUGGGAGACUACUAAGUACUGAGUUAAUCAGUGUAAGUCGCCCUCCCAACGAAAGAAGUUUUCCUUUCCAGCUACUUAAUUUCUUUUCAAAUCUUUCGACCACUUCUUUCCAUUCCGCAUUUCUUAACUUCCUACAAUGGAUCGGAAUGCCAAGAUAUCGAAAAGGAAAAUUGCCAACCUAGCAACCGAAGAGUUGGGCAUACUGAUCUCUAUACUCAAGCGUUUCGCCAAAACAAUAUAGUUCACUUCUAUGAAAAUUGAUCUUCAGACCCGACAAUUGCUCAAAGGCUAGAAGCACCGACUUCAUAUUCUGAGCUUUCUCAAGGUCAUGAUUCAUAAAAAGAACUGUGUCAUCGGCAUAUUGUAAUAUAGACAGUCCCCCAUCAAUCAAAUGCGGAAUGAGACCAUCUACUUGCCCUUGUGUUUUGGCUCUAUUUAUCAAGGUAGCUAACAUGUCAACAAUAAAGUUGAAUAGGAUUGGGGAGAGAUGGUCUCCUUGCUUAUAUGGGAGAGGGUCUCCAUGUCAACAAUCAGCGGGUACUAAUAGGGAUAGAGGAGACAUAGCAGGGAUUGGGAAUAAAGAGAAUGGGAGAGGGGUGGGGGCGGAGGAUUUGUGUACCUUUUGGCAGAGCAGACCAAGAUGGGGCAUACUGUGGCGGUGACGCUUGAGGCAGUGGAACAGCACAGCAUCGAUGGAGGAGGCAGCGCGUAAUGUCCCGUUCUCCAAACAAACUUACAUCU
rnacentral:lncRNA from 1 species